GAUGAAGAACGUAGCGAAAUGCGAUAAGUAAUGUGAAUUGCAGAAUUCAGUGAAUCAUCGAAUCUUUGAACGCACAUUGCGCCCGCCAGUAUUCUGGCGGGCAUGCCUGUUCGAGCGUCAUUUGUACCCUCAAGCUUUGCUUGGUGUUGGGCGUCUUGUCUCUAGCUUUGCUGGAGACUCGCCUUAAAGUAAUUGGCAGCCGGCCUACUGGUUUCGGAGCGCAGCACAAGUCGCACUCUCUAUCAGCAAAGGUCUAGCAUCCAUUAAGCCUUUUUUUCAACUUUUGACCUCGGAUCAGGUAGGGAUACCCGCUGAACUUAAGCAUAUCAAUAAGCGGAGGA
rnacentral:misc_RNA from 1 species